rnacentral:rRNA from 1 species
CACCGCGGUCAUACGAGUGAUAGCCCAAGUGGACAGUCAACGGCGUAAAGCGUGGUUAGAGAAUUACCCCCACUAAAGCUGAAGUAACUCCAGGCUGUCGCACGCAUCUGAGAAUAUUAAACCCGACCACGAAAGUGGCUUUAACCUAACUCGAACCCACGAAAGCUGAGGGA